CUGGGAGGCGGCACCCUGUGUUAUCACAGGGACCAGGAGGACACGGCGGGGGACAGCGCGGCGCGGCCGCUGCUCGGUUGGCUUUCCGACUGUCGCGUGAACAGGACGCUAACUCCCGGACCACGGAGGGGCCCACGCCUCGGCUUCCCGAGUGGGAGAGGCCCGGGAAAGGCGGCGGGGCCGGGAGAGGUCAGGAGCUCCUGGAAAGAUGAGGCCAUGCUGGGGUCAGUGCCUGGAGAGCUGUGGCAGGUGACGCAAACGAGUGACAACCUGGGGAACAUCCUCGCAUAGAAUCACGUGAUUUCCACAUUACGUGUGCAAGAACCAGCCUCGCUUCCAAAAGCUCUGGCUGCACUGGACCACCAUGAGAGCUGAGAAGUAGCCGCCCCCUUGGAGGAGGUUUGUCCUUUCCAGUUGGGCACAGUCUCCACCACUCCCUAUUGUACGUCACCUCACCUGCUUUACUCAGCAGGGGCACCGUCCUCCGUAAGGGAAGCUAGCAGUUAGCUACUGCUGUGUAACAAACAACCACAAAUUGCGGAGUCAGAGAAGACGACAUAAAGGUUCUCGCAUCACAGAGAGUCCUGGGCUCGUGCCUUUCCUAGCAUGGUCCUUGUUACGAUCCUACCAGCUGGCUGGACAAACAGACCAGGCGGAACAGCCACCAGGAAAGUGAGCUGCGUGUGGGAGAGCAGCUGAGCGGUCAGGGAAGGAGAAGUGCUCAUCCUGUGCCCACCUGGGAGGAGGACAGCGCACCCCACCAAACCUGAGGUCAUGAGCCCCACGGAGAACCCAGCCCCUGCAGCAGCACCGGCCGGGCUGGACAGGCACCCUGACAUCAGCACACCAGGGGAAGGGGAUCAGGACGCAGUCACACACAGAGGGACAACUGUGUGAGGACACGGGGAGGAGACGGCCGGCCACAUGCCAAGGAGAGGCCUCAAGAGAACCAGGCUGCCGUCACCCUGAUGUCGGACUUCCCGCCUCCAGGACCAAGAGAAAUAAAGGGGUUCCACUGCAGCGUCAUCUCGAAAGGACCAGCACAUUUUAUCUUCGCUUACUGGGCUACCUGAUUCUCUGGGUCAACUGAUGCUGGUUUCCCCGCUGGGACCAUCUCUGUACCUGGGGCUCAAGGAAAACACAGCCUGAGCAGAAGGAAGAUAAAGCAAGAGAAACCCCAUCUUGGGGACCUUCGGACGAACAUGAUGACUCAGCGGAUGUGAAGACGCGGGCAGAGCCCAGUGAAGUGCCAGGCACAUGGGUCCCGAGGUCUCUGCUCCUCUGGUGAAGUCGACAGCGAUGAUGAUGCGGUGGCAAUGCUGGCCCGCCUCCCACCCAUCGCCACUCUGAUUCGAGUCCCGAGCAGCCAUUCCAGGGUCUUCUCCAGAUUCACGCUCUAAGCCAGCUUCUUGUUGGCCGUUACCACACUAUGUAAUCUCAGAGUCGACGGAAUUGGGACCUGUGACUUUCUGCUCCCCGGGCCUGGCCCUCCCACCCAGGGACCAUUGAGGCGACCCUUUGAAAACAGAAGACAUGAGGUCAUCUAGCUCUGCUCUGAACCUCCAGAGGCUGUCACUCCCUCAGAGAAAAAUGAAGGUUCUUCCCGCGUCUAAUAAAAGCUAGAGCGUGUGGCUCCCUCCUCCCCUUGCUCCAGCCCUCUCCAACAGCCCCGGGCCCCAUGCGGCUCCCCCCACACGCCAGGUGCACAGGAGUGUGCUCAUCCAAGGCCUUCCCACCCGCAGCUCCCUCACCUGCUGCACUUUCCUCUCAAACGCCCUGCUCCCUCACCCCGCAGGUCUCUGCUCCUGGCACCUCCUCAGAGUGGAUGUUCUGACCACACCAAGCCCACCUCUCUCCACCCCUCAGCUGCCUGUGUGUCUUCAGGGUGCCCCCAUCACAGCCACGGGCUGCUGAUCUCUUUGUACUUGUGCUUGGUCCCUAAGGCAGCGACGGGGUCGCACUCUCGGCUGUCUUCCGAACACCUAGAGCCCUUUCGGCUGGCUGGCCGGGAGUGGGUGCUGGAAACAUUUCUUGACAGAGUGAAUUCCUCAGAGUGAAUACAUUUAAAUAGAGAGAGCAGGAUGAUCCUCAGGUAAGUCCUGAGGGCAUGGAAAUACUUACUCUCUGCAGCUGCGGACUCUCUCUGGCUCAGAACAGCCCCUGGUGGGAAUAAUGAUGAAUGCGGAGCUUCAGCUGCUGGGCUCACCGCCCAAUAUAUUUAUUAUAUGAUGUGUUAUAUAGUUGAUAAUAGUGUUUUAAUAUACCUAUAAG
rnacentral:lncRNA from 1 species